AUUGAACGCUGGCGGCAUGCUUUACACAUGCGAGUCGAACGGCAGCGCGGGCUUCGGCCUGGCGGCGAGUGGCGAACGGGUGAGUAAUGCAUCGGAACGUGCCCAGUCGUGGGGGCUAGCCCGGCGAAAGCCGGCUUAAUACCGCACACGAUCUGAGGGUGAAAGCGGGGGACCGAAAGGCCUCGCGCUUUUGGAGCGGCCGAAGUCGGAUUAGCUAGUUGGUGGGGUAAAGGCUUACCAAGGCGACGAUCCGUAGCUGGUCUGAGAGGACGACCUGCCACACUGGGACUGAGACACGGCCCAGACUCCUACGGGAGGCAGCAGUGGGGAAUUUUGGACAAUGGGGGCAACCCUGAUCCAGCCAUGCCGCGUGCGUGAAGAAGGCCUUCGGGUUGUAAACCGCUUUUGUUCGGGAAGAAAUCCUCUGGGCUAAUACCCCGGGGGGAUGACGGUACCGGAAGAAUAAGCACCGGCUAACUACGUG
rnacentral:rRNA from 1 species